AUUCCCCGCAGCGCCCGGCUAAUGGUGCUAGGGGGCGAGCCGAGGCGAUCAAACCACCGAGUGUUCCGGCCGCGUUGGCUACUAUCUGCGGCCAUGACCAAACGAGCGGCAACGGCCGCCAUGGUGAUGUUGCUGACGUUAACGGGUUGCGGAUCCACGCACCAGGCACUUGGCCCGCCGUCCGGGUUGCCCGAUGCCUCUCCCAAUGAGAGGUCAGCGAUACAGAUCCCCGCUGGCCGCAUCGACGAUGCCGUGGCAAAGGUCGACGGCCUGGUCGGCGAGCUGAUGCAGAAUACCGGCAUACCCGGAAUGGCAGUGGCGAUAGUCCAUGGCGGAAAGACGUUGUAUGCCAAAGGGUUCGGUGUCAGAGACGUGGGCAAAGGUGGUGGUCCGGACAACAAGGUGGACGCCGACACCGUCUUUCAGUUGGCGUCGGUGUCCAAAUCGGUCGGCGCCACGGUGGUGGCGCAUGCGGUAACCGACAACGUCGUGACCUGGGAUACGCCCGUCGUAUCGAAGCUGCCGUGGUUUGCCCUUCGCGAUCCCUACGUCACCGGCCAGGUAACCAUUGCUGACCUCUACUCGCAUCGCUCCGGCCUGCCCGACCAUGCGGGCGAUCUGUUGGAGGAUUUGGGUUAUGACCGUCGACAGGUACUGCAGCGGCUGAAAUACCUGCCGCUGGCACCGUUUCGAAUCAGCUAUGCCUACACCAACUUUGGUGUGACCGCGGCGGCCGAAGCGGUCGCGGCCGCGGCCGGCCAGUCCUGGGAGGACCUGUCCGACGAGGUGCUCUACCGCCCGUUGGGGAUGGGGUCUACGAGUUCCCGGUUCACCGACUUUCUGGCCAGGCCCAACCAUGCGGUCAACCACGUCAAGGUCGCAGACCGAUGGGAGGCGCGCUACCAGCGCGAUCCCGACGCCCAAUCACCUGCGGGCGGGGUGAGUUCGUCUCUUAACGACAUGACGCACUGGCUGGCCAUGGUGCUGGCCGACGGCGUGUACAACGGCCGUCGGAUCACGUCGCCGGAGGCCCUGCUCCCCGUCUACACGCCGCAGGUGAUCUCUCGACACCCGGUGUCACCGAGAGCGCGGGCCAGCUUCUAUGGCUACGGAUUCAACGUGGGGGUAACCUCUUCGGGACGCACCGAGUACAGCCAUUCCGGCGCCUUCGGGCUGGGUGCCGCGGCGAAUUUCGUGGUGCUGCCCUCCGAAGACCUGGCCAUCAUCGCGCUGACCAACGCCGGGCCCAUCGGCGUGCCGGAGACGCUGACCGCCGAAUUCAUGGACUUGGUGCAGUACGGCCAGGUACGCGAGGACUGGGCGGCCCUGUACAAGAAGGCAUUUGCCCCGCUGAACGAGCUCGCGGGCUCGCUGGUCGGCAAGCAAUCCCCGGCCAACCCAGCGCCGAGCAGACCGCUGAACGACUACGUCGGCGUGUACGCCAACGACUCCUGGGGGCCCGCCACCGUGACCUACCACGACGGCCAACUGCGCCUGUCGCUGGGGCCGAAGAACCAGACGUUCGAUUUGACGCAC
rnacentral:rRNA from 1 species